ensembl:lncRNA
AUUCCUCUCUCCCACCAAAAUCUGCUCCUCCUUUCAUGUUCCUUAUUCAGUUAUUAGAACCAUCAUCCACCUAAUCCCCUGAAAAAUGUAGAAUCAUCUUUGUCUUUUCUUUUUUUGUUUUGUUGUUGUUUUGCUUUUUUAGGGCUGCACCCCCGCCAUAUGGAAGUUCCCAGGCUAGAGGUCAGAUUGGAUCUACAGCUGCCAGCCUACGCCACAGCCACAGCAACGCUAGAUCUGAGCUGAGUCUGCGACCUACACGAAAGCUCAUGGCAACUCUGGAUCCUUAACCCACUGAGAGAGACUAGGGAUCGAACCCACAUCCUCCAGGAUCUAAGGAUUCAUUAACUGCUGAGCAAAAGGGAACUCCACCUUUGUCUUUUCCCUGUUUGUUACUUCUCAUGUCUAAUCUGCCGCUAAAUCUUGUCCAUUUUUAAACCAAUUUUCUCCCAUUUCCCCCAAAUCCUUUACUACGUACCAUCCAAACUGAAAGUUCAGCCCAAACUGAAACUAUAUGCCAUCAGCUUUGUUUAACUAUCCUCCAACGCAUUCUCAGAAACGUCAUGGGUACUUUUUUUUUUUUUUUUUUUUUUUUUUUGUCUUUCUAGGGCCACACCCAUGGCAUACGGAGGGUCCCAGGCUAGGGGUCUAAUUGGAGCUGCAGCCGCCAGCUACACCACAGCCACAGCAACGCAGGAUCCCAGCUAAGUCUGUGACCUACACCACAGCUCAUGGCCAUGCCGGAUCCUUAACCCACUGAGCAAGGCCAGGGAUUGAACCUCAACCUCAUGGUUCCUAGUUGGAUUAGUUAACCACUGAGCCAUGACGGGAACUCCAUCAUCAUCGGUACUUUUAAAAAUGUAAAUAAGCGACAGGUUACCUGAUGUGCAGAGCAACCCUUCCCCUCACUGCUGUGGUGGUUUGGGGGAAGAGGGCGUGGUUGGGUGAAUGGAGCCCUUGGACUGGUCCCCUCCAGCUAUUGGAACCGUUCUCCCUGCAGAGCUGGGGAACGAGAGUGAGUCACCUCAUCUUGGAAGCCUCUCCUGAGACUCCAUCCCACUCAGAUUCAGACCCGGUGACCCUCUGAAUCAGUGGGAAUACUUCCAGCUCUGAGUGAAAACAGGAAUAACAGCGUUUAAUUACUUCACACAACAGAGUCUGAAGGUGAGUGUUCCCACGGUUUGCUUGGCUCCUGGUGCAAUGUGAGAGCUCUGGGUCAGGAUGUUUGUUAGCUACUCUGCCAUGUCCGCACAGUGACAAUAUGACCAUAGCCGCUCC